rnacentral:rRNA from 1 species
AUUGAACGCUGGCGGAAUGCUUUACACAUGCAAGUCGAGCGGCAGCGCGGGGCAACCUGGCGGCGAGCGGCGAACGGGUGAGUAACAUAUCGGAACGUACCCUGUCGUGGGGGAUAACUAUCCGAAAGGAUAGCUAAUACCGCAUACGACCUGAGGGUGAAAGCGGGGGAUCGCAAGACCUCGCGCGAUAGGAGCGGCCGAUAUCGGAUUAGCUAGUUGGUGAGGUAAAGGCUCACCAAGGCGACGAUCCGUAGCUGGUCUGAGAGGACGACCAGCCACACUGGAACUGAGACACGGUCCAGACUCCUACGGGAGGCAGCAGUGGGGAAUUUUGGACAAUGGGGGCAACCCUGAUCCAGCCAUUCCGCGUGAGUGAAGAAGGCCUUCGGGUUGUAAAGCUCUUUCGGCAGGAACGAAACGGUCCCUCCUAAUACGAGGGGCUACUGACGGUACCUGAAGAAGAAGCACCGGCUAACUACGUGCCAGCCGCCGCGUAAGAC